AGGGAACGCUGGCGGUAGGCCUAACACACGCAAGUCGAACGGCAGCACAGUAGGAGCUGGCUCUUACGGGAGGCGAGUGGCGGACGGGUGAGGAAUACAUCGGAAUCUGCUUUUUCGUGGGGGAGAACGUAGGGAAACUUACGCUGAUACCGCAUACGGCCUACGGGUGAAAGCAGGGGAUCUUCGUACCUUGCGCGAUUGAAUGAGCCGAUGUCGGAUUAGCUAUUUGGCGGGGUAAAGGCCCACCAAGGCGACGAUCCGUAGCUGGUCUGAGAGGAUGAUCAGCACCACUGGCACUGAGACACGGUCCCGACUACUACGGGAGCCAGCAGUGGGGAAUAUUGGACAAUGGGCGCCCGCCCGCUCCAGCCAUACCCCGUGGGUGAAGAAGGCCUUCGGGCUGUAAAGCCCUUUUGUUGGGAAAGAAAAGCAGCAGGUUACUACCCCGCUGUUCUGACGGUACCAACCGAAUAGGCACCAGCUAACUUGGUG
rnacentral:rRNA from 1 species